rnacentral:rRNA from 1 species
AACGAACGCUGGCGGCAUGCCUAACACAUGCAAGUCGAACGAGACCUUCGGGUCUAGUGGCGCACGGGUGCGUAACGCGUGGGAACCUGCCCUUAGGUUCGGAAUAACUCCCCGAAAGGGGUGCUAAUACCGGAUAAUGUCUUCGGACCAAAGAUUUAUCGCCUUUGGAUGGGCCCGCGUUGGAUUAGCUAGUUGGUAGGGUAAAAGCCUACCAAGGCGACGAUCCAUAGCUGGUCUGAGAGGAUGAUCAGCCACACUGGGACUGAGACACGGCCCAGACUCCUACGGGGGGCAGCAGGGGGGAAUUUUGGAAAAUGGGCAAAAGCCUGACCCGGCAAUGCCGGGGGAGUGAUGAAGGCCUUAGGGUUGUAAAGCUCUUUUACCCGGGAUGAUAAUGACAGGACCGGGAAAAUAAGCCCCGGCUACCUCCGU